GCGUGAGACUCGAUCUGACUCUCUUCUGCUGGGAUUGAGCUCUUCUGGAAACUGGACUUUAGAGAAAUGAUGCUGAUCUUUGGACUGAUGCUGCUGCUGCAAACUGCUGCAUGUGUGGAGUGGAACUGCAGUUUUAAUCAAUCAUAUCCCUGUUACGCAGCCCUGGGAGACAAACUCAAUCUGCUGAUGGUCCGGGAUGCCAGUGAAUAUGACCUGAAUUUAAAAAAGAGAAUAAACAACACACAAGAUGAUCAAGUUUGUAGAGUAAAAUAUGGCAGGAUAAAGGAAUGUGAUCUUUAUAAUAACAGAACUGAAGUGACAGUCAUUAAUGGGACUGUGAUAAUAAACCGUGUGAUCAGAGCAGAUUCUGGAAAUUACAGAUUAACACUCACCGAACACUCAGGUGGCACAGAAACAUCUAGAGAUCUUCAAGUGAUUGUUGAAGCUCCAGUUGCCUCAGUGGAAGUGUCAAUCAGCUGCUCCUCCAAUCAGAGGUCAGUGUCCUGCUCCUCAGAGGGGGAUCAGCUCCUCUACAGCUGGACUCUGAAUGGAGAUCCACUGAUGGAUGGAAACAGCAGCAUUGAUCUGGAUGAGGGAACUGAUGGAAACAUCAGCUGCAGCGUGAAGAACCACGUCAGUCACGUACAGAAGACCAUUAGAAUCAAAACCUGUCCUGGUCCAGAUCGUUUUUGCAGUUUUUAUCAAUCAGAUUCCUGUUACGCAGCUGUGGGAGACGAUCUUAAUCUACUGAUGGUGCGGGAUGCUCGAGAUCAAGAGCUGCAUUUGUAUAAGGAGUUAAUGGAUAGCAGAGAACUGGAAGUUUUUAGAAUAAAGAACAAAAAAGAGAAAAAACAUGAAUCCAUCAGAAACAGAUCUGAGUUCAUCUUUGAUAAUGGGACUCUGAUAAUAAACCGUGUGAUCAGAGCAGAUUCAGGGAAUUACAGAUUAGAAUUCUAUCACUCAGACGGUUUAAGACCGUUUAAAAAGCUUCUUCGUAUUAAUAUUGAAGCUCCUACUGGCUCAGUGGAAAUGUCAAUCAGCUGCUCCUCCAAUCAGAGGUCAGUGUCCUGCUCCUCUGAGGGCGAUCAGAUCAUCUACAGCUGGACUUUGAAUGGAGAAAUACUAGAACAAGGACCAAUGGAUGGAAUCACCACCAUUCAGCUAAAUGAGGAAACUGAUGGAAACAUCAGCUGCAGUGUCAAGAACCACAUCAGUCACGCACAGAAGACAAUUAAAGUCAAACCCUGUCCUGGUCUGGAUCGGUUCUGCAGUUUUGGUCAAUCUGAUCCCUGUUAUGCAACUCUGGGAGACAAACUCAAUCUGUUGAUGGUGCGGGACACUAGAGAAUAUGAUCUGAAGAUACAUAAGAGGAUAUACAACACACAAGAUGAUCCAUUGUGUAGAGUAAAGAAUGACAGGAUGAGGAUGAGUGAUUGUGAUCUUUAUAAUAACAGACCUGAAGUGAACAUCAUUAAUGGGACUGUGAUAAUAAACCGUGUGAUCAGAGCAGAUUCUGGGAAUUACAGAUUAAGACUCACUGACUCAGACGGCACAGAAACAUCUAGAGAUCUUCAAGUGAUUGUUGAAGCUCCUAUUGGCUCAGUGGAAGUGUCAAUCAGCUGCUCCUCCAAUCAGAGGUCAGUGUCCUGCUCAUCUGACGGGGAUCACAUCAUCUACAGCUGGACUCUGAAUGGAGAAAUACUAGAACAAGGACCAAUGAAUGGAAACACCACCAUUCAGCUAAAUGAGGGAACUGAUGGAGACAUCAGCUGCAGCGUGAAGAACCACGUCAGUCACACACAGAAGAAUAUUAGACUCAAACCCUGUCCUGGUCUGGACCGGUUCUGCAGUUUUGGUCAAUCUGAUCCCUGUUACGCAACUCUGGGAGACAAACUCAAUCUGCUGAUGGUUCAGCACACUAUAGAAUAUGAUCUGAAGAUACGUAAGAGGAUAUACAACACACAAGAUGAUCCAGUUUGUAGAGUAAAGAAUGACAGUAUGAGGAUGAGUGAAUGUGAUCUUUAUAAUAACAGACCUGAAGUGAACAUCAUUGAUGGGACUGUGAUAAUAAACCGUGUGAUCAGAGCAGAUUCUGGGAAUUACAGAUUAACACUCACUGACUCAGACGGCACAGAAACAUCUAGAGAUCUUCAAGUGAUUGUUGAAGUGUGUUCAGUUUCUGUGGUGUUUGUUCUGGUCUGGUGUCUCCAGAUGAUGGUUCUGUUCGGUCUGUUAGGAGGUUUUCACAUCUACAUGAGACACACGUCAGGAAAGAAACAGAAGGACCAGAAAGUGAGAAUGAGAAGAUUUAGAGAGAGACAUGAACACACAGCAGAAGAUUCAUGAGAGCAGCAGCAGAUCUUCACAUCUGUGAGAAAUGAGUUCAGAAUCAGUCCAGCUUUCACCUGUCAACAACAGAUCUUAUAUAAAACCAAGAGAUUCAUUAAACCUGGAGAUAUGAAUUAACCAGAUUUUCUACAGUUUUAGUUAUGAAGAUUAUUUUCUGGACAGCUGUGUUUUGUAAUAUUUUUAUUGCUUAUUUUAUUCAUUUGUCUUUCCUCUUUGAAUGAACUAGCAGUAUUUUUAUGUCAUUAUAUGAAACUCCUUCUGUUCAUCUGUGAUCAAACUCUUUUAUUUCUCUGAAUCAGAUCUGUCAGAUCC
ensembl:lncRNA